rnacentral:rRNA from 1 species
UAGGGAAUCUUCCACAAUGGGCGCAAGCCUGAUGGAGCAACACCGCGUGAGUGAAGAAGGGUUUCGGCUCGUAAAACUCUGUUGUUAAAGAAGAACAUAUCUGAGAGUAACUGUUCAGGUAUUGACGGUAUUUAACCAGAAAGCCACGGCUAACUACGUGCUAG